rnacentral:misc_RNA from 1 species
CUAACAUAGGAUAGCAUCUUACAGGGGAUACAAGUUCUAUUGGAAUAAUGAGACUGAAAAAAUACCCCGAGUCAGAGGUCCUUGACCUGACGGGUCGAAGGUUACAAAAGAUUGAGGUGCCGCUCAACUUAGAUCCUGCCACCAUUAUAUGUGACAAAAACAAUGUGACCAAGAUAGAAAAUCUGGAACGAUGCCACAACCUCAAACAGCUAUCUCUGUCCGGGAACAGGGUGGUAAGGAUGACUGGAGUAGGGAAACUGAAAAACCUGACCGUCCUCAAUCUACCCAACAAUAGUAUAGUGGCAGUGGAAGGUUUAAAAGAACUUCUGCAGCUGGAAUGGUUAAACUUAUCAGGAAAUAGCAUAAAGGCUAUUGAGAAUCUGAGUACCAACAUCAGCCUGGGUCAUCUGGAUCUGUCGGAUAACAAUAUAUCAUCCUUAUCAGAUAUCACACACCUGAGAAGUCUUCGGACACUUCUUCUCCAUGGCAACAGCUUGACCUCACUGAGAACAGUCCCGCAGCAUUUCCCAAAGUCCAUAGUCAUCAUGUCAUUGGCUGAAAAUGAAAUAUUAGACAUCAAUGAGGUGAUGUACCUAUCUUGCCUGCCCUACCUGGAGCAGUUGUCACUGACCAAUAACCCCUGUGUGCUGAUGACCGCCUCAACUCCUGGCUUUGAUGGUCGGCCUUUCAUCCUCAACUGGAUAAGUUCCCUCAAGGUGCUGGACGGCUACCUCAUCACAGAGAAGGAAAGACUGAAGGCUGAGUGGAUUUACUGCCAAGGCAAAGGGCGGCACUUCAAGCCCGGCCAUCACGUGGAAGUGGUGGAGUACCUGGCCAGUGUGUGUCCACUCACAAACUCUGCCGAGCUGGAAUCCCAAGAAGAUGCCAAGUUAAGUAAAAUACUCUCUAAACAAAAACUACAUCAACAGGAGCUCUCGCAGGAUCUAUCCUACUCGUCCAAUCAGAGUACACUCAAUGAUCUGUCAGGAACCGGCUUUACAGACACGCUCACACAACCAGACACCAGCACAGCGUACAACAGACCAGUGCGGGCGUCCUCCGAUGUGAGCCACAACUCAUACAACAGACACCCAGUAAGGGCCUGGACCACAGCAGCUCGAUAUGGUGACGGUGACGUCAGUAGAGACAGCCAUAUCGCUACGCAAUGUAGUGACCUCAAUAUUCAGGAGGUGACCUCUGACGAUUAUGAUACCAAAAGUCAGACAAGUUUGCUGGACUCCGAAUCCAUUUAUCUGCCUGUUUCCGAGGCUAGUACUUCUAGCAAUCGUCCAAUGACAGCCCCUGUUAUAUCCGGCCACUCACCGGCCACCAACUAUCUGGCCCACAGAGACAACCGGCCAGCCACGAUGAUGGAGACUCGAUAUGAAGCAUACAACAACCGACCAAUCAAACCCGUGAACCCUGAAGUGCUCAAAGGGCUCCUAAAACCAAAAUUUGAUUAUUCACCCCCACAGCAAUCCGGAAAUGAACCAGCAAUUGGAGCUAAAAAGAAAACUCCACCGACUGCUCAGGCCCACGACUACGACACAAGCCAGGAAGUCUCCGAGAUAGAACAGAUUCUGAGUCCGCCAAAAGAUUCCAUUCCCGUGGAAAACAUAAGUCAAAUCAAGGAAGUGGCUGAGAAAAAAUCCCGAAAAGGAUCGGGAUCAUCAGUAUCCACAAGGACUGGUGCUCCACAGAAAACUUCAAAACUGAAUACCUCACACAUUACACAAAAAACGACAGAAAACGUUGGUAAUAGAAGUAAUAUCCCUGUUUCAAAGGGAGCUAAUGUGACACGGACACAUUCUGACUAUCUUCCAGGAAAAUAUGCUGCCACAGUGAGGAAGAUUAGUGGGGAAAACCUUGCUGACAAACGGACAAAGGCACAUUUACCUGAUAAAUCUCAUGUGUCGGAUAAAAGUGAUAGUACGCGAGAUGUGAAGGCAAGUGUGCGUGACUCGGGUGUGUACUCCCGCCCUGUUAGUGAUGCCGUACUCGGGGAUUACGGUCCUGAAGAUCACAAAGCUGCGAUAAUGAUCCAGUCUGUGUGGCGAGGUUUCCGAACGCGGUCCAAGGAUUCGGAGGUGGUGUUCAUUCGGAAGGAGAUCAGGGCCCGCAGAGCCGAGGAUCACAUCAUUCUGCUACGCUCCGAACUUGACAGGCAGAAAAAGUUGUAUGAUGAAGAAAAGCACCUUCGAUCUCUACAAAUGGAGGCCAUUAGGUUUCUUUGGAAGGAGGUACAGUCACUACAGCACUGGAAGACCGAGGUUCUCACUUCACAGUCGUUCAAGGGCACAAUGGACUCUUCGCGGGGGACAGAGGACAGCUCGUAUAACUACAGCCAGGAAAUCCAGAACACCCUCCAGAGGAUGGACUCCUUAAACACCGGACAUGGAACUGUCCCGGAAGUAGACUUGGUGAAACACCGGCAGCUAGAAAAAACAUGUGCCAAUCUGCAGAGUCAGGUGUCACAGCUUCAGACAGCGCUACAGUCAGUAUCCAGUGUUGUGUUCCAAAGCGGAUUGUUUUCCGGAGGCAACGAGACCACAGAAGAGAAUGUGUCGCUGUUGGUUACCGGGUAUGAGGACGAUGACAUCUCAAGCUGUGAUGACGAAUCCAGUAUAGAAGGCCCAAGAUGGGGGUCAGUACCCAACUCGCUGUCUCCCUACCCCUCGGAGGAAGAGGAGACCUACUUUUCCUCCGUCCCUCAACCAGGUUUCCCUACCCCUCCACGCAACCUCCGACUGGAACACAAGGGUGAGACCUCGAUCGUCAUUUCAUGGCAGCCGUCCAAAAUACUGGACACGUACAACAAGGAGGUCAACCAGCCAUUACUGGGGUACCGAGUCUAUGUGGAUGAGAAACCAACGUCCAUGCUAGCCAACAAUCUCCUCCGAGCCCUGAUCCACGGACUGAACACACAGCUCACCUACAAGAUCUAUUUAAAGGCAGUGUCAUCGCUAGGGGAGUCCAACAUGUCCAACAUUUUAAUGGCAGGUGUUUCACAAGGUAGCAGCCUGCCCCGUAAACAGUCGUUAAGUAGUGACAGUGACGAUAGUGACGAGAAAUAUUCAACAGAAAGUUCAGAUGUUGCACGCAAUCAUGUCCCUCAGCGUCGACAGCGACGCAUUAAAUCUCCCAGACAGGACAAGCGCCAAGCACAUGCUCGCGGCAAGGAGUCUAGUGCUAGUGAUCAAGAAAAUGUGAAGGAGCGCGAACGACCUAGUUCAAGGUCAGAACGACCCGGCAGUUCAAGGUCAAACACUAACAGUGAUGGAAUUUUUGUGCAACCAAAAUUACAUACACAUCGACGCAAUCGGAGCCGAGAUUCACCUAAUGAUGGGUUAACUAUUGGAGUACGACAACAAGAGUCGACACAUCCUAUCCCAAAAGAAUCGCACCAGUCACCACCUGCAGGCAGUCGGUGCAAGGAAAAUUCUCUCAGUGCAUCCAAAAUGUCAGAAACAUUUACCAUUGACAGCCAGAAUUCUCUGUUGUCUGCCAUCGCAGCCACAAGAGCUGCCUUGCAUGGUGGGGAUGGUGGUGUAAAGGAACAAUUUGUGAAAACUCACCGUCGGACACGAAGCAAGGAGAAAGUGACAGAGAUGCCAUCCACAGAAGUAAGCCUUGUCGACAGUCCUGGAUCAUUGCCUAGUGCUCCCAACAUUAGUGUUAGUUCAUCUCCAGAGACGAAAAUUCUCAAUGUGCCAACGCAAGAUGCUGGGGCAAUUCCAAACGAAUCUACACAAAAGGGUCAUAGACGGACACGGAGUAAGGACCUGCAGAACCCGGUGUAUGAGUGGAGGAAAGACAUUGAUAGCACUACCAAUGUCAAGGAUGUGAAAAAAGCUUGGACAAAAGAAUCUGGUUGUGAGGUUCAUGGUAUUCCUGUCAUAGAUGGCAGUAAAAGGCCUAGCAGUCGUCCAGGUAGUCCUGCACCCUUCGACAUCUCGGAAACUAAAUUACAAGUGGACAGAAAAAAGAGUGUCGCUGACUUACUAGAACAGCGCUUCUCUAACAAACCUGUGUCUCCACUUGAGGGUGGUGACACGGCAAACAAAGCGGCUCUUCCUCCACGCGUGCGCAGGAUCGCAAGUAAUGAGGAUGUGUCGGACGGUGGUAGACGCACACCAUCAAAAACAGCCUCUCCAACAUAUGUUGAUCGAAGGAGAUCACCAUCCAAUGGCUCAGAGAGUGAUGUUAGUGAAUCCUCUGCAGCAAGGCAUUUAGAUAUGGAUGGUGGUAAUCGGACAAACAAUACAGGGAUUGUGUCAAAACUCUUACAAAAGUUAUCUAACAUGUCAAAAACUCAAGGGGAAAUCAGAGAUCGAGGACCAAAACCAAAGCUUAAGUCAACAAGUGAGGUGCCUACUGGUGCUGAGGAAAGCAUAGUUUAUAGGCGACAGCGGCAGCUCAGUGGCAGCGAAAGCGAGCCAGUGGCAUCCUGCAUACCUGUCACAGAGAAACCGGCCCCACACCACCAUAGUGAUAACUCCUCUGGGAAUCAGUCAGAUGAUCCACAGGGCCCACGUCGUCAACACAAGACUCACAGAAGGACCAGUUCCGAUCACAAGAUCAAGAACACAUCUCCAACGACACCCAGUAAGAAGACUAGUGCCCAGUCGGGAGUGAAAAGGAAUGCAUCCUUCAGUGGAGUUCGUCUUUCCAAACAGGUGGACCCCGGUAGGAGUGGCUCUGAGGUAACCACCUGGGGUAUACCCCAGUAUUACUGUUAAACUAAUAUGUACCAAGGCCAUAUAAACAGGUGGACCCCGGUAGGAGUGGCUCUGAGGUAACCACCUGGGGUAUACCCCAGUAUUACUGUUAAACUAAUAUGUACCAAGGCCAUAUAAACAGGUGGACCCCGGUAGGAGUGGCUCUGAGGUAACCACCUGGGGUAUACCCCAGUAUUACUGUUAAACUAAUAUGUACCAAGGCCAUAUAAACAGGUGGACCCUGGUAGGAGUGGCUCUGAGGUAACCACCUGGGGUAUACCCCAGUAUUACUGUUAAACUAAUAUGUACCAAGGCCAUAUAAACAGGUGGACCCUGGUAGGAGUGGCUCUGAGGUAACCACCUGGGGUAUACCCCAGUAUUACUGUUAAACUAAUAUGUACCAAGGCCAUAUAAACAGGUGGACCCUGGUAGGAGUGGCUCUGAGGUAACCACCUGGGGUAUACCCCAGUAUUACUGUUAAACUAAUAUGUACCAAGGCCAUAUAAACAGGUGGACCCUGGUAGGAGUGGCUCUGAGGUAACCACCUGGGGUAUACCCCAGUAUUACUGUUAAACUAAUAUGUACCAAGGCCAUAUAAACAGGUGGACCCUGGUAGGAGUGGCUCUGAGGUAACCACCUGGGGUAUACCCCAGUAUUACUGUUAAACUAAUAUGUACCAAGGCCAUAUAAACAGGUGGACCCUGGUAGGAGUGGCUCUGAGGUAACCACCUGGGGUAUACCCCAGUAUUACUGUUAAACUAAUAUGUACCAAGGCCAUAUAAACAGGUGGACCCUGGUAGGAGUGGCUCUGAGGUAACCACCUGGGGUAUACCCCAGUAUUACUGUUAAACUAAUAUGUACCAAGGCCAUAUAAACAGGUGGACCCUGGUAGGAGUGGCUCUGAGGUAACCACCUGGGGUAUACCCCAGUAUUACUGUUAAACUAAUAUGUACCAAGGCCAUAUAAACAGGUGGACCCUGGUAGGAGUGGCUCUGAGGUAACCACCUGGGGUAUACCCCAGUAUUACUGUUAAACUAAUAUGUACCAAGGCCAUAUAAACAGGUGGACCCUGGUAGGAGUGGCUCUGAGGUAACCACCUGGGGUAUACCCCAGUAUUACUGUUAAACUAAUAUGUACCAAGGCCAUAUAAACAGGUGGACCCUGGUAGGAGUGGCUCUGAGGUAACCACCUGGGGUAUACCCCAGUAUUACUGUUAAACUAAUAUGUACCAAGGCCAUAUAAACAGGUGGACCCUGGUAGGAGUGGCUCUGAGGUAACCACCUGGGGUAUACCCCAGUAUUACUGUUAAACUAAUAUGUACCAAGGCCAUAUAAACAGGUGGACCCUGGUAGGAGUGGCUCUGAGGUAACCACCUGGGGUAUACCCCAGUAUUACUGUUAAACUAAUAUGUACCAAGGCCAUAUAAACAGGUGGACCCUGGUAGGAGUGGCUCUGAGGUAACCACCUGGGGUAUACCCCAGUAUUACUGUUAAACUAAUAUGUACCAAGGCCAUAUAAACAGGUGGACCCUGGUAGGAGUGGCUCUGAGGUAACCACCUGGGGUAUACCCCAGUAUUACUGUUAAACUAAUAUGUACCAAGGCCAUAUAAACAGGUGGACCCUGGUAGGAGUGGCUCUGAGGUAACCACCUGGGGUAUACCCCAGUAUUACUGUUAAACUAAUAUGUACCAAGGCCAUAUAAACAGGUGGACCCUGGUAGGAGUGGCUCUGAGGUAACCACCUGGGGUAUACCCCAGUAUUACUGUUAAACUAAUAUGUACCAAGGCCAUAUAAACAGGUGGACCCUGGUAGGAGUGGCUCUGAGGUAACCACCUGGGGUAUACCCCAGUAUUACUGUUAAACUAAUAUGUACCAAGGCCAUAUAAACAGGUGGACCCUGGUAGGAGUGGCUCUGAGGUAACCACCUGGGGUAUACCCCAGUAUUACUGUUAAACUAAUAUGUACCAAGGCCAUAUAAACAGGUGGACCCUGGUAGGAGUGGCUCUGAGGUAACCACCUGGGGUAUACCCCAGUAUUACUGUUAAACUAAUAUGUACCAAGGCCAUAUAAACAGGUGGACCCUGGUAGGAGUGGCUCUGAGGUAACCACCUGGGGUAUACCCCAGUAUUACUGUUAAACUAAUAUGUACCAAGGCCAUAUAAACAGGUGGACCCUGGUAGGAGUGGCUCUGAGGUAACCACCUGGGGUAUACCCCAGUAUUACUGUUAAACUAAUAUGUACCAAAGCCAUAUAAACAGGUGGACCCUGGUAGGAGUGGCUCUGAGGUAACCACCUGGGGUAUACCCCAGUAUUACUGUUAAACUAAUAUGUACCAAGGCCAUAUAAACAGGUGGACCCUGGUAGGAGUGGCUCUGAGGAGAACCUGGCAGAAAAAUCAGCCAUGUCAAACUCGGCUGGUGCAGUCAUGAUGGAGUCGAUGACACGCCGACAGGAACGAUC